rnacentral:piRNA from 1 species
CAAUUGAAUAAACCUACUCUGUUCUU